rnacentral:rRNA from 1 species
UAAGAGCUUACCAAGGCGACGAUCGGUAGCUGGUCUGAGAGGACGAUCAGCCACACUGGGAUUGAGAACGGCCCAGACUCCUACGGGGGGCAGCAGUGAGGAAUUUUCCGCAAUGGACGAAAGUCUGACGGAGCAACGCCGCGUGCAGGAGGACGCUUUUCGGGGUGUAAACUGCUUUUCCCAGGGAAGAGAGCGGACGGUACCUGGAGAAGAAGCCCCGGCUAACUACGUGCCAGCAGCCGCGGUAAUACGUAGGGGGCGAGCGUUGUCCGGAGUUACUGGGCGUAAAGGGCAUGCAGGCGGUCGUACGCUUUUUGUGUGACAGCGGGUGGCUCAACUACCCGAGUCUGCGAAAAGACGGUAUGACUUGAGGGCUCGACGCGACACAGUAUUGCGGGUGGGAGUGGUGAAAUG